GAAACCGUGUACGUACAAGCAGUGGGAGCACCUUCGUGGUGUGACUGCGUACCUUUUGUAUAAUGGGUCAGCGACUUAUAUUUUGUAGCAAGGUUAACCGAAUAGGGGAGCCGUAGGGAAACCGAGUCUUAACUGGGCGAAUAGUUGCAAGGUAUAGACCCGAAACCCGGUGAUCUAGCCAUGGGCAGGUUGAAGGUUGGGUAACACUAACUGGAGGACCGAACCGACUAAUGUUGAAAAAUUAGCGGAUGACUUGUGGCUGGGGGUGAAAGGCCAAUCAAACCGGGAGAUAGCUGGUUCUCCCCGAAAGCUAUUUAGGUAGCGCCUCGUGAACUCAUCUUCGGGGGUAGAGCACUGUUUCGGCUAGGGGGUCAUCCCGACUUACCAAACCGAUGCAAACUCCGAAUACCGAAGAAUGUUAUCACGGGAGACACACGGCGGGUGCUAACGUCCGUCGUGAAGAGGGAAACAACCCAGACCGCCAGCUAAGGUCCCAAAGUCAUGGUUAAGUGGGAAACGAUGUGGGAAGGCAUAGACAGCCAGGAUGUUGGCUUAGAAGCAGCCAUCAUUUAAAGAAAGCGUAAUAGCUCACUGGUCGAGUCGGCCUGCGCGGAAGAUGUAACGGGGCUAAACCAUG
rnacentral:rRNA from 1 species